rnacentral:rRNA from 1 species
ACGAACGCUGGCGGCGUGCCUAAUACAUGCAAGUAGAACGCUGAAGAGAGGAGCUUGCUCUUCUUGGAUGAGUUGCGAACGGGUGAGUAACGCGUAGGUAACCUGCCUGGUAGCGGGGGAUAACUAUUGGAAACGAUAGCUAAUACCGCAUAAAAUGGAUUAUCGCAUGAUAAUCCAUUGAAAGGUGCAAAUGCAUCACUACCAGAUGGACCUGCGUUGUAUUAGCUAGUUGGUGGGGUAACGGCUCACCAAGGCGACGAUACAUAGCCGACCUGAGAGGGUGAUCGGCCACACUGGGACUGAGACACGGCCCAGACUCCUACGGGAGGCAGCAGUAGGGAAUCUUCGGCAAUGGACGGAAGUCUGACCGAGCAACGCCGCGGGAGUGAAGAAGGGUUUCGGAUCGUAAAGCUCUGUUGUAAGAGAAGAACGAGUGUGAGAGUGGAAAGUUCACACUGUGACGGUAUCUUACCAGAAAGGGACGGCUAACUACGUG